rnacentral:tRNA from 1 species
GGGGUUGUGGCUCAGUGGUAGAGCGUUUGCCUAGCAUGCAUGAGGCACUGAGUUCAAUUCUCAGCUCCA